AGAAAGGAGGUCUAGACUGUGAGCUGAAUGUUUGAACAUUUGUAUGUACUUGUUAGUUAGUGUGCAGGAGACAUUUGAGGGACUUUGACCUUGUUUUGACACUGAUGCUCAGAACAGGAUGUCUCAAGACCAAUUUGAUCCAGGUGAGCUGCGAGUGGUAGUGCUGGGAGGAUACCAGUCAGGCAAGACAUCCUUGAUCAACACUGUGCUCAACCAGGGACCUGGAGGAAAAGGGCAACAUGCUCGCUGUUUGAAAAGAGAGGGCGACGUCAGUGGCUGGAGGCUCACCUUGAUUGACACGCGUUGUUGGUGGACGGGCUUUUUGCUGACAGACACAGCGGAGUUGGUCAAGCAAGACCUAGUGUUGACUGUGCGUCUGUGUCCACCCGGACCACAUGCCUUCCUUUUGACAAUCGAGAUCGAUGCUCCAUUCACUGAGAGAAACAAGAAAGUUAUAGAGGAGCACUUGGCACUCUUUGGGGACAAUAUCUGGAGGCACACCAUAGUAGUGUUCACCAGAGGAGACUAUCUUAAGGGUAAAAGCAUAGAACAGCACAUUGAAAGUGAAGGAGAGGCUCUGAAGUGGGUUAUAGGGAGAUGUGAGAACAAGUAUCACGUUGUUGACAACCAAAGCAAAGAUCCUGACCAGGUAAUUGGGCUGCUAAAUAAGUUAGUGACUGUGAAUGUGGCAAACGGUGGCAGUUAUUUCCAGAUUGACAGGGAGACUUUGAAAGAGGUUGAAGAGAAAAAGGCUGCAGUGAAAGUGAGAGCAAAGGCCAGGCAGGACCAUAUUACUGAGCAAAGACAAUUGCUGAAGCAACAAGCUGAAGUGAAGCCUUUAACAGAAAUGAGAAUUAUAUUGCUUGGUUGGGUGAGUUCAGGGAAAACCUCUGUAAGAAAAAUGAUCCUGGACGGAGGGGAAUUAGUCACCCGAAACAUAACUGUUCAGUCUAACAAAACAUCGGGAGAGGUGGAAGGGCGGCGAGUCACAGUGAUUGACACCCCAGGAUGGUGGAAGUAUUUCCCAGCCAAGAACACCCCUAAAAGUGUUAGAACAGAACUGAAGAAGAGCUUGACAUGCCUUCCUCCUGGCAGUUCCUGCACAUGUGUCGUUCCUGGAGGAUCAGAGGAAGAUCAUUCAAGAUAACAUGAAGAUGUUUGGAGAGCAGGUCUGGAGACACACACUCAUACUCUUUACUUGGGGCGAUCAGUUGGGCAGUGCAAGCAUCGAGGAGCACAUCGAGAGUGAGGGAGAACCCCUGAGGUGGCUCGUGGAGAAAUGUGGGAACAGGUACCACGUCUUUGACAACGUGAAUAAAGGAGAUGGCUCUCAGGUUAGACAGCUGCUAGAAAAAGUAGAAGAGAUGGUGGCAGGCAAUAGUCUGUACAGCCUGUCUACAGAGGCAUGGGCAACCAAGUCUAAGGAAACAGAUGAAGAACCAGAUGGAGCAAAGAUGGAGGUUAUGAAUCCACUGGAUCAUGAAUGGAAAAGGCUGGAUAGAGAGCUGGAGGAGAAGAUUAACGAUAUGUGGAAGAAAAUGUUUGAUCCAGAGCUGAAAGGAAACCGAAGUGGAGAAGGUUAUCGUCCUGACUUUCAUGAAAGUGAGCCACUGCAGGAGGAGAGGGAAAUCAGUGUGCACACCUCUGAAUUAAAUGUGCCAUCGAAAGGUUGUCUUUGCACUUUCUUCUAUUCUUAAUUUUCUCCAAAAGUUCAUAAAUUGGUUUUUGGUUCAUAACAGUAUAAUCUAAUGAAUAUUCAUAUGAAUGUGACUGUACUGUAUGUGUUCUAUGUUAAUAACAUCAGAAGGUGGUAAUGAGAGACAGGCUGACAAACCUGCACCCAGUUCAACUGAUGAAAUGACUGAUCUGUUAGCGCGUGAGUGGGGGAGACGAGAGGCACUGAUUAUGGAAAGAGUUCGUGGAUUUAUGUUGCAACUCCAAGGACUGUACGGUCCUUCAUCAGAUGUUGAUAAGAGAGAAUGGGAAGAAUCCUGUCAAAAGGUUCAGAGAUGGUUUGAUGCGACGUCUGGAUAUGAAUCAGAGUGAAUUCCUUCACUCCGCUGUGAAAGGUCUUCUAUAUUGAUUUCAUGAUAUGACCUGCAGUAGGACAUCAGUUUAUUAUCAUUUAACAUAUGUAAGAAAUCUAGAAAUAAAAAUGGUAACAUAAAGAAACUGACUGUGAUGCACGUCAACUGAUUGGAUAUCUGACCUACUGGUUAGCAAAUCAGACUUGUAACCGAAGGGUGGUUUGAUCCCUGACUGGGGAGUGAUUGAAUGGCAUUCUCCAACAUCCACAUCCAUGGAUGAGGUGACCCUUGAUCAAGUCAUCUGAACUCAAGCUGCUCCAUGAGCACUGGAUCAAGGGCUGCCCAUUGCUCUAGGUGUGUACAGCAUACACUAUGCGCUCCCUGGGAGAAAUUAAAGGGAUAAUCCGGAGUGAAAUGCACUUUGGAUAAA